AUUACCAGCCCAGUCAAGAGAUAUAGACAAAGAAGGAACUCAUUUUGUCUCUGUAUUUCAUCUCUGCUUGAUUUUUCUUGGUACAACUUUGUAAAUUUAAGUCCCCAGAUGGUGACAGUGCUGAGUUUUUUUUUUUUUUUAUGUGAAGAAUUUUUCAGUUUGGGUUUAUCCACCUUAAGGAUCCCAGUCUUGGCCAUAAAGA